UGGGGAAUAUUGCACAAUGGGCGCAAGCCUGAUGCAGCAACGCCGCGUGAACGAUGAAGGUCUUCGGAUCGUAAAGUUCUGUUGCAGGGGAAGAUAAUGACGGUACCCUGUGAGGAAGCCCCGGCUAACUACGUUCCAGCAGCCGCGGUAAUACGUCGGGGGCUAGCGUUAUCCGGAUUUACUGGGCGUAAAGGGUGCGUAGGUGGUCUUUCAAGUCGGUGGUUAAAGGCUACGGCUCAACCGUAGUUAGCCUCCGAAACUGGAAGACUUGAGUGCAGGAGAGGAAAGUGGAAAUCCCAGUGUAGCGGUGAAAUGCGUAGAUAUUGGGAGGAAAACGAGGAGCGAAGGGGGCUUUCUGGACUGCAACUGACACUGAGGAACGAAAGCGUGGGUAGCAAACAGG
rnacentral:rRNA from 1 species